CACUUUGUAGAGAGAGUUCAAGAGUACGUGAAACCGUUUAGGGGUAAACCUGAGAAACCCGAAAGGUCGAAGGGAGAAAUUCAUCGCGUUUCGCGGUAGACGGCGAGCGGUCGCGCGACGGAAAAACGUUUACGCUUUUUCGCGCCGUCAGUUCGUCGAAUUUGCCGCGAACGCGUGCACUUUUCUUCUGGUAGGACGUCGCGAUCCGUUGGGCGUCAGUCUACGGCUCGAGGUGGAGCCCGCCCGUCGCUCUCAUCCAGCGUACGGACGGACCCUCGCGUCCCGGCUGACUCGCUCGACGGUACACUCGAAAGGUUAGAGGCCGCUCCUCUGCGAGCGUUCGGCUCGCGGCAAGCGCGUCAGACGUGUCGGCGAUCGGACCCAGUGCCGAUUCCGACCUCUGGCGACUGUUGGCCGUCGAAGUUCUCGAACAGACCGGUUGACCGAUCUGCGACGCUAUAGCUUUGGGUACUUUCAGGACC
rnacentral:rRNA from 1 species